rnacentral:lncRNA from 1 species
ACUGCAGGGCAGGGACGAAUGAUGGAAUAGGACUGUCUCUUCAGCUGCAGUGCCAGCUUAUGCCAGUUUAAAAUAAUCCUGAAUCUAGGGCAUUAUUGAUUCUGUUUGUUCUUUCCAGAAACGCUAUUCGACGAGCAAGGUUACCACCGCGGAGGCCUGACUUUCUUCUGGAAUCUCUAGAAAACAAGGAACUGCUGGGGCCUCCUUUUACAAGGUCAGAGGCACCCUUCCAGCAAACAUCUGUGGACAAAAGUUCUGUGCAGAGGGGGAGCUUAAUGCCAACACUUCAAACGGAAGAAAGUACCUGUAAAUGUCUCUCUCAAAUGGGCAGUGCCACUCGUUCUGAUCCACUUCUCACACACGCUGCUCUCCCCUCUGGACCUCUGUGGACACAUGAUGUGGGCCGUGCUGUUCAGAGGCCAGAGCUACGUUCUCCUUCAUCCUUCAUGCCCCAAAUAAAAGCUGGAGCAGAAAUGAGAGGAGAUCAGCCUGUGAGUGCUCGCCAGGGAGCCCAAGACUUUCAGCUGGAGUCUGUGGAGAAGAAGUUGCGACCAAACUUGCAGCCACAUUUGCUGUUACCUGAGGACUUGGUGGAAAAAUGGAGUCACCAAACUGCAGCUGAAGGGGGAGAAAGGGAGCACGGUUCCAGAGAAGAAAUGGCGUUGCAGAGAAAGCUGGAAGUUGAACUGCGACACAUCCAGCAGCAGAUGCAGUACUACUUCAGCAGGAAGCAGGAACUCAGGUCCUGUCAGCAGCAGGCACAGAUUCUACAGAAGUGGCUGGAAAUGAGCACACAACCAGAGGACCAAGAUGAUGGGGUACAAGGAGCUUGGGAAGAAUUGGAUCAGUUACAGGUGAGGAUCAACACUCUCACCAAAGCACAACUACAGGAGAGACACCACGUGCAGAACCUGGUUGCCCGCCUGCGUGACAUCCAGAUUGCUCUGGACAUGUAAUGCAGCUGAAUCUACUUUCCAGCUCACGG